AAAUGAAUAGACGGGGACCCGCACAAGCGGUGGAUGAUGUGGAUUAAUUCGAUGCAACGCGAAAAACCUUACCUACCCUUGACAUGUCCAGAACCCUGCUGAAAGGUGGGGGUGCCCGAAAGGGAAUUGGAACACAGGUGCUGCAUGGCUGUCGUCAGCUCGUGUCGUGAGAUGUUGGGUUAAGUCCCGCAACGAGCGCAACCCUUGUCCUUAGUUGCUACGCAAGGGCACUCUAAGGAGACUGCCGGUGACAAACCGGAGGAAGGUGGGGAUGACGUCAAGUCCUCAUGGCCCUUAUGGGUAGGGCUUCACACGUCAUACAAUGGUCGGUACAGAGGGUAGCCAACCCGCGAGGGGGAGCCAAUCCCAGAAAGCCGAUCGUAGUCCGGAUCGCAGUCUGCAACUCGACUGCGUGAAGUCGGAAUCGCUAGUAAUCGCGGAUCAGCAUGUCGCGGUGAAUACGUUCCCGGGUCUUGUACACACCGCCCGU
rnacentral:rRNA from 1 species